UACCAGCACCCCGAGUGGUCGGGACGUUUAUUGGGCCUAAAGCAUCCGUAGCCGGUUCUACAAGUCUUCCGUUAAAUCCACCUGCUUAACAGAUGGGCUGCGGAAGAUACUAUAGGGCUAGGAGGCGGGAGAGGCAAGCGGUACUCGAUGGGUAGGGGUAAAAUCCGUUGAUCCAUUGAAGACCACCAGUGGCGAAGGCGGCUUGCCAGAACGCGCUCGACGGUGAGGGAUGAAAGCUGGGGGAGCAAACCGG
rnacentral:rRNA from 1 species